rnacentral:tRNA from 1 species
GAGAGUAUAUCUCAGUGGUAGAGCACAUGCUUAGCAUGCACCAGGUCCUGGGUUCAAUCCCCAGUACUGCCA